GUCUAAGGCAUGCAAGUCGAGCGGUACCCUUCGGGGGAGAGCGGCGAACGGGUGAGUAACACGUAGGUUAUCUGCCCCAUAGACUGGGAUAGCUCCUGGAAGCAGGGAUUAAUACCGGAUACACUCGAAAGAGUAAAGGCGCGUUUGCGCCACUAUGGGAUGAGCCUGCGUCCUAUUAGCUUGUUGGUGGGGUAAAAGCCUACCAAGGCGAUGAUAGGUAGCCGAACUGAGAGGUUGAUC
rnacentral:rRNA from 1 species